AGGUCGUGCCUGGUGCUUAAUUUGUUUUUGUUAUUGUGUCUCAAAUUGCACUAGUCCCGGCCUGC
rnacentral:pre_miRNA from 1 species